rnacentral:rRNA from 1 species
UACGGGGGGGGCAAGCGUUGUUCGGAAUUACUGGGCGUAAAGGGCUCGUAGGCGGCCAACUAAGUCAGGCGUGAAAUCCCCAGGCUCAACCUGGGAACUGCGUCUGAUACUGGAUGGCUUGAAUCCGGGAGAGGGAUGCAGAAUUCCAGGUGUAGCGGUGAAAUGCGUAGAUAUCAGGAGGAACACCGGUGGCGAAGGCGGCCCUCUGGACGGUGACUGACGCUGAGACGCGAAAGCGUGGGGAGCAAACAGG